UCGAGAGGCGCAGGGGUAGAGCGCAACCUUGCCAAGGUUGAAGUCGUGAGUUCGAAUCUCAUCGCCCGCUCCA
rnacentral:tRNA from 1 species